rnacentral:rRNA from 1 species
UACGAAGGGGGCUAGCGUUGCUCGGAAUCACUGGGCGUAAAGGGUGCGUAGGCGGGUUUUAAGGUCAGAGGUGAAAUCCUGGAGCUCAACUCCCAGAACUGCCUUUGAUACUGAGAAUCUUGAGUAUGGGAGAGGUGAGUGGAACUGCGAGUGUAGAGGUGAAAUUCGUAGAUAUUCGCAAGAACACCAGUGGCGAAGGCGACUUCCUGGCCUGUUCUUGACGCUGAGGCGCGAAAGCUAGGGUAG